CAGCCGCGGGAAUACAGAGGGUGCGAGCGUUAAUCGGAUUUACUGGGCGUAAAGCGUGCGUAGGCGGCUUCUUAAGUCGGAUGUGAAAUCCCUGAGCUUAACUUAGGAAUUGCAUUCGAUACUGGGAAGCUAGAGUAUGGGAGAGGAUGGUAGAAUUCCAGGUGUAGCGGUGAAAUGCGUAGAGAUCUGGAGGAAUACCGAUGGCGAAGGCAGCCAUCUGGCCUAAUACUGACGCUGAGGUACGAAAGCAUGGGGAGCAAACAGGAUUAGAUACCCCAGUAGUCCCUGUCUCUUAUACACA
rnacentral:rRNA from 1 species